rnacentral:rRNA from 1 species
UUAAGCGACUAAGCGUACACGGUGGAUGCCCUGGCAGUCAGAGGCGAUGAAGGACGUGCUAAUCUGCGAUAAGCGUCGGUAAGGUGAUAUGAACCGUUAUAACCGGCGAUUUCCGAAUGGGGAAACCCAGUGUGUUUCGACACACUAUCAUUAACUGAAUCCAUAGGUUAAUGAGGCGAACCGGGGGAACUGAAACAUCUAAGUACCCCGAGGAAAAGAAAUCAACCGAGAUUCCCCCAGUAGCGGCGAGCGAACGGGGAGCAGCCCAGAGCCUGAAUCAGUGUGUGUGUUAGUGGAAGCGUCUGGAAAGGCGCGCGAUACAGGGUGACAGCCCCGUACACAAAAAUGCACAUGCUGUGAGCUCGAUGAGUAGGGCGGGACACGUGGUAUCCUGUCUGAAUAUGGGGGGACCAUCCUCCAAGGCUAAAUACUCCUGACUGACCGAUAGUGAACCAGUACCGUGAGGGAAAGGCGAAAAGAACCCCGGCGAGGGGAGUGAAAAAGAACCUGAAACCGUGUACGUACAAGCAGUGGGAGCACGCUUAGGCGUGUGACUGCGUACCUUUUGUAUAAUGGGUCAGCGACUUAUAUUCUGUAGCAAGGUUAACCGAAUAGGGGAGCCGAAGGGAAACCGAGUCUUAACUGGGCGUUAAGUUGCAGGGUAUAGACCCGAAACCCGGUGAUCUAGCCAUGGGCAGGUUGAAGGUUGGGUAACACUAACUGGAGGACCGAACCGACUAAUGUUGAAAAAUUAGCGGAUGACUUGUGGCUGGGGGUGAAAGGCCAAUCAAACCGGGAGAUAGCUGGUUCUCCCCGAAAGCUAUUUAGGUAGCGCCUCGUGAAUUCAUCUCCGGGGGUAGAGCACUGUUUCGGCAAGGGGGUCAUCCCGACUUACCAACCCGAUGCAAACUGCGAAUACCGGAGAAUGUUAUCACGGGAGACACACGGCGGGUGCUAACGUCCGUCGUGAAGAGGGAAACAACCCAGACCGCCAGCUAAGGUCCCAAAGUCAUGGUUAAGUGGGAAACGAUGUGGGAAGGCCCAGACAGCCAGGAUGUUGGCUUAGAAGCAGCCAUCAUUUAAAGAAAGCGUAAUAGCUCACUGGUCGAGUCGGCCUGCGCGGAAGAUGUAACGGGGCUAAACCAUGCACCGAAGCUGCGGCAGCGACACUAUGUGUUGUUGGGUAGGGGAGCGUUCUGUAAGCCUGUGAAGGUGUGCUGUGAGGCAUGCUGGAGGUAUCAGAAGUGCGAAUGCUGACAUAAGUAACGAUAAAGCGGGUGAAAAGCCCGCUCGCCGGAAGACCAAGGGUUCCUGUCCAACGUUAAUCGGGGCAGGGUGAGUCGACCCCUAAGGCGAGGCCGAAAGGCGUAGUCGAUGGGAAACAGGUUAAUAUUCCUGUACUUGGUGUUACUGCGAAGGGGGGACGGAGAAGGCUAUGUUGGCCGGGCGACGGUUGUCCCGGUUUAAGCGUGUAGGCUGGUUUUCCAGGCAAAUCCGGAAAAUCAAGGCUGAGGCGUGAUGACGAGGCACUACGGUGCUGAAGCAACAAAUGCCCUGCUUCCAGGAAAAGCCUCUAAGCAUCAGGUAACAUCAAAUCGUACCCCAAACCGACACAGGUGGUCAGGUAGAGAAUACCAAGGCGCUUGAGAGAACUCGGGUGAAGGAACUAGGCAAAAUGGUGCCGUAACUUCGGGAGAAGGCACGCUGAUAUGUAGGUGAAGUCCCUCGCGGAUGGAGCUGAAAUCAGUCGAAGAUACCAGCUGGCUGCAACUGUUUAUUAAAAACACAGCACUGUGCAAACACGAAAGUGGACGUAUACGGUGUGACGCCUGCCCGGUGCCGGAAGGUUAAUUGAUGGGGUUAGCCGCAAGGCGAAGCUCUUGAUCGAAGCCCCGGUAAACGGCGGCCGUAACUAUAACGGUCCUAAGGUAGCGAAAUUCCUUGUCGGGUAAGUUCCGACCUGCACGAAUGGCGUAAUGAUGGCCAGGCUGUCUCCACCCGAGACUCAGUGAAAUUGAACUCGCUGUGAAGAUGCAGUGUACCCGCGGCAAGACGGAAAGACCCCGUGAACCUUUACUAUAGCUUGACACUGAACAUUGAGCCUUGAUGUGUAGGAUAGGUGGGAGGCUUUGAAGUGUGGACGCCAGUCUGCAUGGAGCCGACCUUGAAAUACCACCCUUUAAUGUUUGAUGUUCUAACGUUGACCCGUAAUCCGGGUUGCGGACAGUGUCUGGUGGGUAGUUUGACUGGGGCGGUCUCCUCCUAAAGAGUAACGGAGGAGCACGAAGGUUGGCUAAUCCUGGUCGGACAUCAGGAGGUUAGUGCAAUGGCAUAAGCCAGCUUGACUGCGAGCGUGACGGCGCGAGCAGGUGCGAAAGCAGGUCAUAGUGAUCCGGUGGUUCUGAAUGGAAGGGCCAUCGCUCAACGGAUAAAAGGUACUCCGGGGAUAACAGGCUGAUACCGCCCAAGAGUUCAUAUCGACGGCGGUGUUUGGCACCUCGAUGUCGGCUCAUCACAUCCUGGGGCUGAAGUAGGUCCCAAGGGUAUGGCUGUUCGCCAUUUAAAGUGGUACGCGAGCUGGGUUUAGAACGUCGUGAGACAGUUCGGUCCCUAUCUGCCGUGGGCGCUGGAGAACUGAGGGGGGCUGCUCCUAGUACGAGAGGACCGGAGUGGACGCAUCACUGGUGUUCGGGUUGUCAUGCCAAUGGCACUGCCCGGUAGCUAAAUGCGGAAGAGAUAAGUGCUGAAAGCAUCUAAGCACGAAACUUGCCCCGAGAUGAGUUCUCCCUGACCCUUUAAGGGUCCUGAAGGAACGUUGAAGACGACGACGUUGAUAGGCCGGGUGUGUAAGCGCAGCGAUGCGUUGAGCUAACCGGUACUAAUGAACCGUGAGGCUUAACCU